rnacentral:tRNA from 4 species
GGAGAGGUCGCAUAGUGGCCUAGUGCGCGCGCUUGGAAAGCGCGUAUACCGCAAGGUAUCGAGGGUUCAAAUCCCUCCCUCUCCGCCC